rnacentral:rRNA from 1 species
UACGAAGGGGGCUAGCGUUGCUCGGAAUCACUGGGCGUAAAGGGUGCGUAGGCGGGUCUUUAAGUCAGGGGUGAAAUCCUGGAGCUCAACUCCAGAACUGCCUUUGAUACUGAGGAUCUUGAGUACAUUUGAAGUGGGCGGAAUGUGCCAUGUAGCGGUGAAAUGCUUAGAUAUGACACAGAACACCGAUUGCGUAGGCAGCUCACUAAACUGUAACUGACGCUGAGGCACGAAAGCGUGGGGAGCAAACAGG